rnacentral:rRNA from 1 species
GAUGAACGCUGGCGGCGUGCCUAAUACAUGCAAGUCGAGCGAACGGACGAGAAUCUUGCUUCUCUGAUGUUAGCGGCGGACGGGUGAGUAACACGUGGAUAACCUACCUAUAAGACUGGGAUAACUUCGGGAAACCGGAGCUAAUACCGGAUAAUAUUUUGAACCGCAUGGUUCAAAAGUGAAAGACGGUCUUGCUGUCACUUAUAGAUGGAUCCGAGCUGCAUUAGCUAGUUGGUAAGGUAACGGCUUACCAAGGCAACGAUGCAUAGCCGACCUGAGAGGGUGAUCGGCCACACUGGAACUGAGACACGGUCCAGACUCCUACGGGAGGCAGCAGUAGGGAAUCUUCCGCAAUGGGCGAAAGCCUGACGGAGCAACGCCGCGUGAGUGAUGAAGGUCUUCGGAUCGUAAAACUCUGUUAUUAGGGAAGAACAUAUGUGUAAGUAACUGUGCACAUCUUGACGGUACCUAAUCAGAAAGCCACGGCUAACUACGUG